GUCACGUCUUGCGCAGUGAGGAUCAGAUAGAUCCCAUUCUUGUGAUCCACCGGGAAAGGAGCAUAUUUCACGGCUGUGGCAAUCACUUGCUGGAUGGAAAGACGAGUCAAGUGGGCCCCAUGAGAGUAGGCCUUAUCGGUGUAUUCGCCAGCGAUGAGGACAGAACGGGAGACAUUGGCGCCAGUUUGAUCUGUGUAAAGAGAAACAGUGCGCCACCAUUCGGAGACGGUGGGCUUAACAGCAGCAGUGGCGGGAGAGAUGGAAUUGAUGAAGUCCUUGAUGAGGGGCUUUUUGGAAGCAGCCCAACGACCAUACCAA
rnacentral:misc_RNA from 1 species